rnacentral:lncRNA from 1 species
AGGCAUCUGCCUGGCAGGGCGCAAUCCAAACACACUGUUGAUCUACGAUUUGCGAAAUUCAGUUCCAUGCUUUAUCACCAGUAUUGUUUUGUUCAUACACAGAUCUCAUAUUGGUCAUUGGUGCUGUUGUGGCUGGAUAUAUCUUUUCUGGUUUCCAACAUGGGUUUGGAUUCUCAGGCUCCGAGAAGGUAGUUAUUUGUGUAUGCUGGCCCUGUUCAUUUUUACAUAGAUGUUUCCACUUCAUAUGUGUAUUUGUAAUCUCCUUAAAACUUGGCAUCACAGUAUUCCUAGUCAUACUGCUUAAAUAGCACCUUGUUCUUUCUCAAUUUUAUAAUGGACUGAAAAUGAAAAAAAAAACUGCUAAUGUAGUAGUUUGUUUCGGUUGAUGCCAUUGUAGGUAGAGGCACCUGAAAACGAGCAGCAUGAGAGCAGCACAAUUGGGAAGCCACCUCUGGUUGUGGAGAGCCUGAAAGAGGAACCAGGAGCUGGAUGGCCAUCCCUUGGGACGCUUAUCGCCGAUCUCCUGAAACUUGCUAUUG